CGAAAGUUGGGAACAACAAAGGUAGCAGGAUUGAGGACAUUGGCCUAGUUUACACCUAACGACCUGACCUAUACCCUAACCUAUACCCCACCUAAGAAAGGUCUCGUAUGGAGCGUUUACCGCAUAUAGACCUAUAAUAUUUUUGGGCCUAAUGUAGGUCGCAUUUAGUCUCACGAUAGAGACAUCUAUUAAUACACUUUACGCCUUUAGGCCGUCUGCUUGUGUUUACAUGCGUUAAAGCUAGAUAGGUCGUACGGCCUAAGAGAGGUCAGGGAUCUUGAAAAAGAUCCCUUACCUAAGCGAGGUUACAGCUAUUUACACCGUCGUGACCUGUCGUGUUUAGGUUAGAUUUAGAGUAUAGGUAGCGGCCUAAACGUAGGGUGUAAUUGAUUAUGUCAAAGGGUGGACCAUGAUUCCAUUAAAAUAUCCGUAUAGAAAAUGGUGCUGUAUUGUUUUGUGGAAGGUUGCAAUUCGAAGAAAUACUGCAAGAAAGAUGAAAAAAGUGACUCCAGCUUGCAGUUUUACGGAUUUCCAAGCUGUCACGAAAUACAUGAGAAAUGGGUCAAGGCAAUGUCUUUGAAUAAUCAAGAAAUUACUCAAUAGCCAAAAAUCAGCAGAAUCUGGAAUUUGCAUUUUUCCUUGGACUGUUUUGAACAAAUUGGAUUGUGUUUUACUCGUUUAAAAAAAAAUCUAUACCAAAUAUAUUUCCACGCGCUCAAAAUUAAAAUCAAAGCUUGGAAAUAUCCACACAGAAAGUUGUAAAAAUUUUGAAAAAAAUGUUAAUGAAUGCAUAUUGCGAACUCCAAAGAAAUUAGUUCGCGCACAAAAUCAAAAUCAAAGCUUGGAAAUAUCCACACAGAAAGUUGUGAAAACUUUGAAAAAAAUGUUAAUGAAUGCAUAUUGCAAACUCCAAAGAAAUUAGUUCGCGCACAAAAUCAAAAUCAAAGCUUGGAAAUAUCCACAGAAAAUUGUGAAAAUUUUGAAAA